rnacentral:lncRNA from 1 species
GCAGGCAGCCAAGUUUGCAUCACACGCUUCAUGAGAGCCUUUCCCAUCAAGUCCUUCUCAUCAUUCUUCAUGGUCACACCAAGCUUCUUCAACAUAGGCCACAACUUAUCCUUCUGAUCAUUCAUGCAGGUGGCUAUGAUUUGCUUGAUUGGCUCGUAGCAGAACUGAACGAAUCCUCUCUUGCAGGUAGCUGUCCCAGUGUUCUUGGAGGUCCAUUUCUUUGUGGCUGGGUCAAAGAAGUUCUCACCCCACAGCCUCUCCAUCAUCUUCACCUCAUCAACUCCAAACUUGGAGGCAUACAUCUUAGCAAAGUUUGUAAGGGUGAAAGCCCACCCAUGCAAACCAGCAGAGAAU